GAUUUUAUGGGUUGUAGCUGCUGCGGUAAUGGGCCAAUCACACUGCGCAAGAUAGAAGAUCAGCUUGCGGUGAUUGGUGUGUUUUCCCCACUAUAGACUCCACCCCCCUCCCCACACUCUUACCGUUUUGAUGCGUGCCAGGGCACAGUCGCACAGGAAGUCCUGACAGAUAGGGUGUGUGAUGCCUUUAGAUUGACGCAACAUGUUCAUACUCAUGUUCGUUGUACUUGUACAAUGACAAUAAAGCUUUCUAUUCAAUUCUAUACCUGAUGUUAGUGGCAGAAGCUAACAACUUGAGAAGAACACAAUGAUAGUCUGGGAGAUGUUCCUUAUUCCAGUCUCCAUGGCAGUGACAGCCAUGUCGUCGAUUUGUACACCCCAGAUCCUGGAUGAACCCCCAGGCCAGAUUACGGUUCUUCGUGGUUCCUCCCUGACUCUGAACUGCAGCGGUACAUGUCAGGGAGGAACCAAGAGUAACAGAGUAAUGUUGAACUGGCACUUCUCCGCCAAUGAUUCAGAAAGAUCCAACAGCAGCAAAAUCUUGGAAUGCCACAAUGGACCCCCUGAGGAAAAGAUGGGGUGCAAUUACACAACAAUAAAUGUCCAAGACAAGGACAGUGGAUGGUACUAUUGUAAAGUCACAUUAAACCGACCUAUAUUAAUGCAAAUCUAUUCCAGUGGAACUCGCAUUGUUGUCGGGAACGAGAUGGAUGCUUCAGUGACUGCAAACCCAGGAACUAAAACCCCAGGUUUUAUAGAUGUGAUUCAGAGCAAGACGUUCCUCAUCGUCUCUGGAGUGUCCGCGCUCCUCCUCAUCAUGCUGGUGGUGAUGAUCUGUGUUGUUCAGAGAAGAAGGCGAAGGCACAAAGAGAUGACCUGCCCCAUUUAUGGUAACACUCGUCCAUCAUUGGCGACCAGAAGGAAGCAAACCAGCAAACCCGACCCUCUGGUGGCCAGCAGAGUCCCCCCAAAGGCCCAGACACCCCUGAAAGCAAAGUGUCGAGAUGUCCCUGAGCAAGACACAUCACCCUAACUGCUUCCGACCAGUUCAAACUCUAUGGACCCCUUCAGUCUGGCUUCUGCCCACUUCACAGCACAGAAACUGCCCUGGUCAAAGUCACUAGUGAUCUCCUCACCUCUGCAGACUCCGGUGCCCUCAACAUCCUGCUAUUACUUGACCUCAGCGCAGCCUUUGAUAUGUUCAACCAUUCCACCCUCCUUAAAAGGCUGCGUCAACAGGGUAUUGAGGGCACUGCACUCGACUGGCUCUCCUCCUACUUCACCGACAGGCAACCGUUCGUCUCGCUCUCUGGCCACACAUCCACCCUCUCUCCUGUCACGCAGGGGGUCCCUCAGGGCUCAGUCCUCGGCCCCCUUCUUUUCAUCUGCUACCUCUUCCCCCUCGGUCACAUCAUCCGCCACCUCAACCUGGACUUCCAUUGCUACGCUGAUGACACCCCGAUCUACAUCACCACCAAACCCACCCAAAAUCCCCCCCUCACCCAACUCGAAACCUGCAUCUCUACAAUAAAAGCAUGGCUGACCCUCAAUUUCCCUCAAACUCAUUAGCGACAAAACAGAGCUCCUCCUCAUAGGCACCAAAUCCACUCUCAAAAAAACUGGACCCAUCUCACUCACCAUCGACCCCUCGACCAUCACUCCCUCCCCCCUGGCCCGCAAUCUUGGUGUUACCAUGGACCCCACCGGCUCCUUUGUUCCCCAUGUCAGCUCCAUUGUUAAGACCUCCUACUUCCACCUCCGCCGCAUCGCCAAAAUCAGACACUGCCUGUCCCCCCUGCUGCUGAAUCCCUUACCCACGCCUUCAUCUCGUCCCGUCUUGACUUACUGCAACUCCCUCCUCACUGGCAUCACCUCUCAUUCCCGCCAUAGACUCCAAAUGGUCCAAAACUCUGCUGCGCGCCUUCUAACCCACAAACGUUCUCAUGAACACAUCACUCUUGUUCUCUUCACUCUCCACUGGCUCCCUAUCACACAACGCAUCAACUUCAAAAUCCUCCUCCUGACUUUCAAGGCUCUCCACCACCUUGCCCGCCCUACCUGUCUGACCUCCUCAUCCCCCAUCUCCCCUCCUGAACCCUCAGAUCCUCCUCCACUCUCACUCUGACCGUCCGACCAACCAAACUUAAAACCUUCGGUGACAGAGCCUUCUCAAGAACAGCACCCCGACUCUGGAACUCUCUCCCCCAAUCUGUCCGCAACUCUCCCUCGCUUCCCAUAUUCAAAUCCCGUUUAAAAACCUACCUCUUUUCCCAAGCCUAUGACCUCCCCUACCCAUAACCACCCUUAUCCCUAUCUACUAUCACACUCCACCUUGCUUAUGUUGUGCUGUCUUCCGCUUGUCCACCCUGAUUGUCAUCUCCCUCUUCGUGUUUUAUGUAAGUGUCUUUGGCUCACUGAAAAGCGCUAUAGAAAAUGAAUGAAUUAUUAUUAUUAUUAUUGUUAGAAGGUCUGUACCCCUGAGAAGGUCUGCACACACAAACACAAACACACGCACACACACAGACACACACACACCGUAGACUGGUAAAUCUGCUGGCAUGGGUUCCUCAAGCUUCACGUCGGAGGCCACCACUGGCACGUGGCAGCAUAAUCAUUGGCACACCUGAGAAAGAAAAAUAAAAACGAAUAAUUACUGCCGAUUUUUUUGACACUCUACUCUGUUUUGGGCAUUUCCUCCCAGUGCAAAUAUGUUUAAAUGAGUUACUGAAAGCAGUGUUCUGAAAGGGGAUCAAUUAAUAGUUUUUAAACCUAUGUCGUGAGUAAUAGACAAGAAAAUAUUUAAGAUAUUGUUGCAAGUUGCCUGCAUGCAUCGCCUUCACAUGGUUUUGCAAAGCUGUACAUGUCUUAAAGAUAUUGAUAUGAAUAGUUCCAACAUUCUCAUAUAUUCUUGUUUUUUACAUUUCUCACAGUGCAAAUAUGUUUUUGAAUGAGUUUCUGAAAGUGGUGUUUGGACAUUUGUAAUUAUAAUUUGUAAGCCCAUGUUGCAAAUAUAAAAACUAUAUAUUUUUUAAUGUUGAUGCUUGAUUCUGGACUAUAUGGAAAUAAUACAAUUCCAGGGCUUUUGGAAAUGUUUUUGUUUGCUGUGUCAUAAUUUAGCUUAAUAUUUAAUAUAUUGUUGCUUGCAAACAUGGCACUGCAUGUUGAAAAGUUUGCUGACCCCUGCUCUAGGGUGUCUGCUCUGAGUCUCUGGGCCCCAUCUUGCAUCCGGCGCAAUUGACUUUCUACACUGACGCAUGUGUCGAUGCUAGUCUGCAACUUGGGCAGAACGUUUUCUUCCCCCCACCGCCACGCGUCGGCAAAUUAGGGAAUAAUCUUGAACCCCAAGGGGCGGUUCGGCGAAAUGAAGAGCCGUGUUCUGGCGCAACAUUCCCUGGUGCUAUUUUGCAGUUUCAGAAAACAAUUGCGCCACAAACCAGGAAAUACCUGGUUUAAAGUCAGUGGCGCGUUGUUCAGAUGCUAUUUUAAGGGCGCAUGCAUGAUGUGGUGUGUAUGUGGAAAAAAAUGAAUGAAAGCGGGCGCGCGUGUGUGCGUCCAUCUGUUUAAACACACACAAACUAAACACGUAACGCAUAAUACAGUCCAUGGCAAUGUAUAUUAACGGGGGGACACAUGCAUUUUGGGAACACAAGCCGAUAACGAUAAU
ensembl:lncRNA